UGGGUGAGUACAGUGGCGUACGGGUGAGUAACACGUGGAUUAUCUACCUCUUAGUGGGGAAUAACCCUGGGAAACCGGGGCUAAUACCGCAUAAGCCUGGAAAGGGAAAGUCGUAAGACGCUGAGAGAGGAGUCCGCGGCCGAUUAGCUAGUUGGCAGGGUAACAGCCUACCAAGGCUUUGAUCGGUAGCCGGCCUGAGAGGGCACACGGCCACACUGGCACUGAAACACGGGCCAG
rnacentral:rRNA from 1 species